rnacentral:tmRNA from 1 species
GGGGGCGUACUGGAUAUCGACCAGUUGAAUACGUUCUCGAUUGCAUGCCGAGGAUGGCUCGUUUCCUCGUAAAACCAUCGGACCAAAAACAUAACUGCCAACGAAGAAUUGGCCCUCGCGGCAUAACCCCGCGACGUCUGUCCCUGGACACCUGCUAGGGGGAACAGGCGCCGAAAGCAGGAUAGGUUGAGACCGGGGACGGCGCGUGCCUCGACCGAAACAAACCCA